rnacentral:rRNA from 1 species
AUUGAACGCUGGCGGCAUGCUUUACACAUGCAAGUCGAACGGUAACAGGUUAAGCUGACGAGUGGCGAACGGGUGAGUAAUGCAUCGGAACGUGCCCGAUCGUGGGGGAUAACGCAGCGAAAGCUGCGCUAAUACCGCAUACGAUCUGAGGAUGAAAGCGGGGGACCGUAAGGCCUCGCGCGAUCGGAGCGGCCGAUGUCAGAUUAGGUAGUUGGUGGGGUAAAGGCUCACCAAGCCGACGAUCUGUAGCUGGUCUGAGAGGACGACCAGCCACACUGGGACUGAGACACGGCCAAGACUCCUACGGGAGGCGGCAGUGGGGAAUUUUGGACAAUGGGCGCAAGCCUGAUCCAGCAAUGCCGCGUGCAGGAAGAAGGCCUUCGGGUUGUAAACUGCUUUUGUACGGAGCGAAAAGGCUCUCUCUAAUACAGGGGGCUCAUGACGGUACCGUAAGAAUAAGCACCGGCUAACUACGUGCCAGCCGCCGCAGUAA